GAUGAACGCUGGCGGCGUGCCUAAUACAUGCAAGUCGAGCGAACAGACGAGGAGCUUGCUCCUCUGACGUUAGCGGCGGACGGGUGAGUAACACGUGGAUAACCUACCUAUAAGACUGGGAUAACUUCGGGAAACCGGAGCUAAUACCGGAUAAUAUAUUGAACCGCAUGGUUCAAUAGUUAAAGACGGUUUUGCUGUCACUUAUAGAUGGAUCCGCGCCGCAUUAGCUAGUUGGUAAGGUAACGGCUUACCAAGGCAACGAUGCGUAGCCGACCUGAGAGGGUGAUCGGCCACACUGGAACUGAGACACGGUCCAGACUCCUACGGGAGGCAGCAGUAGGGAAUCUUCCGCAAUGGGCGAAAGCUUGACGGAGCAAAGCCGCGUGAGUGAUGAAGGUCUUCGGAUCGUAAAACUCUGUUAUUAGGGAAGAACAAAUGUGUAAGUAACUAUGCACGUCUUGACGGUACCUAAUCAGAAAGCCACGGCUAACUACGUG
rnacentral:rRNA from 1 species